UCCUAUGGUGUAUAAAUAUACCUUGUUAGAUGAAUCUUAUUGAAGCCAGCUGGCCCAGCUGCUAAUGCACUGGUCUGGAGUUUUACAACUCGCUAGCUCCGAGUUCAAUCCCCACCCAUAUUGUGGUCGAUUUAAUAAGUUGACAAUUUUAAAUUUGCAUACCUUAAAAUGAAAAUGAAGCUUUCUUUUAAUUAAGGUCAUCAACACAAAGUUUGAAUUAUAUUCUUUGGUAAUUUUUUUUUUUAAUUUCAUUAACAUUUUUAAUUUGCAGCUAAACAAGCUAACAUUUAAGGUGUCAUCUUUCAUGUGGGGUUAAUAUUUUGAAGCCAUUAAGAUAAGGUUUACUUUAGCUAUUGAAUGAAAUCCUUAUUACUAAUAAUAUUGGCUGAAAAUUUUAAGUGGGUAAUAGUAGUUCCAGUUAUCCCAUGGAUUCCAACAUUGAAUUGGCAAAUUUGCCUGUACACAAAAUAAAUUUAAUGGGAGCUGUCUUGGCUGUAAGAUGCAUUACCUAUUAAUACUGAAGUCAUUCAGGAGAUGUAGCCUCUAAUAUACUAUUUAAUAUAACCUACCAGGAAAAAAAUUCAUAUUUUGCACACAAAAUUGGCAGAUGUGUAUGUAUUAUUAUUAUUAUUAUUAUUAUAAUCAAGGGGGAAGCGCUAAACCUGGAGGAUUAUACAGCGCCUGGGGGGGGGGGAUGUGGAAGGCAUUCAGGCUUAAUUCGGGGAACUGGAGCACAGAUCCAAUUCCCUAAAUCAAGAGCCACUCACCAACAUCAAGGAACCUUCCUUGAGGGGAGAUGUGUAUGUAAACAUUUCAGUUUUAUUUUGACAUGGUCAAAUUAGAAGACCCCUUCACUGAAUGCUUGAAGAUUCACUAAGAAUUUUGGUGUUAUCAGAACCAUUCCAGGAUGCUAGUUAUGAGUUAACAUUUUUGGUCAUAGAGCAAUGCACAUACCAAUUGGUAGUGGAGUCUUGCUCUAGUCAUUCUUCACCAACAUUGAAAAUUUAUGCAUCAAAUAUGGCCUUCUUGAGUUAUGAACAAAAUGGAAACGUUGAAGGAAAAAAAAUUCAGGCAACUCCUUAAAGAUUUUCCUUUGGGGAUACCUAAUUAGAAAAACAAAUAUGUAUUGAACACUUGAGUUUUUAAGUUUGAAGAGUUAAGCGAGGCCUAUAAUAUCCAGUUUUUGGUUCACUUGUUUCCAGAGCUGAUGCAUACUCAGUGACAUUUUUUCCUUCUUCCUCCUUGGUCUUUGUUUAUAAUUUGGUAAUGUCUUAAUCAAUUCUGAUCAAAUUUUCAACUCAAAUGAACUGCAAUUAGGAAAAAGGUUCAUGACACUAUUGGUAUGGGCAGGUGCCCUCUGAUUAAUUUUUUAUAGACCAUUCCUAAACUUAGUUUCCCUGUGAUAACUUUAGAAAGCCUUUUCAUAUCAACUUCAAAAGUUCAACACUGGUGCUUUUUACUUGGAAGGAGGUCGAUAUUUUUAUUUGUGCAGAAGCCUGUAAUUGUUUUACAUUCAGGAUUGCUGGUGUCUUAUUUCUGUCUCUAACAUGCAAGAUCUCAGGUACUUACACUUAGGUCACACUACACAUGCAUGUACGAGCAUAUACGUAUAUAUACAGUAUAUACAUGCAUAUAUUAAAGGUAGUAGGUUGGUAGACAGCAACUGCCCAGGGAGGUACUAUCGUCCUGCCAAGUGAGUGUAAAACGAAAGCCUGUAAUUGUUUUACAUGAUGAUAGGAUUGCUGGUGCCCAUUUUUCUGUCUCAAACAUGCAAGAUUUCAGGUACGUCUUGCUACUUCUACUUACACUUAGGUCACACUACACAUACAUGUACAAGCAUAUAUAUACACACCCCUCUGGGUUUUCUUUCUAGUUCUUGUCCUUGUUUAUUUCCUCUUACCUCCAUGGGGAAGUGGAACAGAAUUCUUCCUCCGUAAGCCAUGCGUGUUGUAAGAGGCGACUAAAAUGCCAGAAGCAAGGGGCUAGUAACCCCUUCUCCUGUAUAUUUUACUAAAUGUAAAAGGAGAAACUUUCAUUUUUCCUUUUGGGCCACCCCGCCUCAGUGGGAUACGGCUGGUGUGUUGAAAGAAAGAUAUACUACAUAUACAUGUAUAUAUAUACACACCCCUCUGGGUUUUCUUCUGUUUUCUUAAUACAGUGAAACCCUGGGUUCCUAUCUCCCAGAUGCCAACAAGUCUCUUCAGUAACGCUGUUUCGACUUUAGGCCUAGCUCCUGGAACUGAUUACGGCCGAAACUUGGGGUUCCGCUGUAGUUCUUGUAUUUUGUUUAUUUCCUCUUGUCUCCAAGGGCAAGUGGAACAGAAUUCUUCCUCCGUUAGCCAUGUGUGUCAUAAGAGGCGACUAAAAUGCUGGGUGCAAGGGGCUAGUAACCCUUUCUCCUGUAUAUAUUACUGUACUAAAUUUAAAAGGAGAAAUUUUCAUUUUUCAUUUUGGGUCACCUGCCUCAGUGGGAUAUGGACGGUUCGUUGAAAGAAGAAAGGUACCAUUUUGGAAACUUUAUUUAAAAAAUGGUAUGUUAUUUUUUCCUGUAAAAUAUGCACAUUUUGAAUCAUAAAUGGCUAAAGCAUCUUAUAAAAAGAAUAUUUUCUAUGAUUUACCUGUUAAAGUGCUAAUUUACCAACUACUAAUGUACUAGUUAAUAAACUUAGAAUUACUGGAUUCUCUGCUAUAACUUGAAAAUGUAAGUUCUGGUCAGCUUAAAAUUUUUUGUGAUUUUUUGUUGAAACAAUCUUGCACUGAUUUUGGGAAAGUUCUUUUUUGCCAGUUUUAUUAAAAAAUGGUUUCUCACCAAUAACUGAACAAUGUCUCUCCUGAAAGGCAUCGAACGCUAAAUGUUGGUACAGUAUCUUACUUAGAUACUCAACUGCACUGAAUAUUUAUGCCACUCUGUACUAUUCUUCUUGCAUGCAUUAAGGUAGAGAAGAUUGGGUUUAUGGAAUAUGGUUAUACUUUUCUUAGAUUGCACAGCAACUUAAGUACAUAAUUUACUUUUAUAGUAUACUAUUCCAUUUGUUAAAUAACACUGGUGAUUACUACUCUUAAACCAAGAAAGGUAUGGGAAUAAAUAAUACUCAUGUUGAA